rnacentral:rRNA from 1 species
UGGGGAAUAUUGGACAAUGGGCGAAAGCCUGAUCCAGCCAUGCCGCGUGUGUGAAGAAGGUCUUCGGAUUGUAAAGCACUUUAAGUUGGGAGGAAGGGCAUUAACCUAAUACGUUAGUGUUUUGACGUUACCGACAGAAUAAGCACCGGCUAACUCUGUGUCAGCAGCCGCGGUAAUACAGAGGGUGCAAGCGUUAAUCGGAAUUACUGGGCGUAAAGCGCGCGUAGGUGGUUUGUUAAGUUGGAUGUGAAAGCCCCGGGCUCAACCUGGGAACUGCAUCCAAAACUGGCAAGCUAGAGUACGGUAGAGGGUGGUGGAAUUUCCUGUGUAGCGGUGAAAUGCGUAGAUAUAGGAAGGAACACCAGUGGCGAAGGCGACCACCUGGACUGAUACUGACACUGAGGUGCGAAAGCGUGGGGAGCAAACA